UUUUGUGCGUUGAUGAAGCAAUUUGUGGACUAGAGUUUCUGAUCAUGGGCUCUUCUUCCCAUUAUGUUUGACGACAAACCCUUGGCUGUCUGAGUGCAAAU